rnacentral:tRNA from 1 species
ACCUGGGUGGCUCAGUUGGUUAAGUAUCUGACUUCGACUCAGGUCAUGAUCUCACGGUUCGUGGGUUCGAACCCUGCGUCAGGCU